GGUUGUGGCUCAGUGAUAGAGCGCUUGCCUAGCAUGUGUGAGGCACUGGGUUCAAUCCCCAACACCA
rnacentral:tRNA from 1 species